AAUAACACUUAAUGUUUUAUCAAAAGAGAUAAAUAUACACUUAUACCCCAAUGGUAAAUUAAUUUAGACAUUAGGGUUUAAAGUUAAGGGGUGGGAUUUAGAAUUUAGGAUUUAGGAUUUAGGGUUUAGGGUUUAAGGGUUUAGGGUUUAGGGUUUAGGGUUUAGAGUUUAAGGGUUUAGGAUUUAGAGUUUAGGGGUGGGGUUUAGGGUUUAGGGUUUAGAGUUAAGGGGUGGAGUUUAGGAUUUAGGGUUUAGGGUUUAGGAUUUAGGGUUUAGGGUUUAGGGGUUUAGAGUUAAGGGGUGGGGUUUAGGAUUUAGGGUUUAGGGUUUAGGAUUUAGAGUUUAGGGUUUAGGGUUUAGGGUUUACGGUUUAGGAUUUACGGUUUAGAGUUUAGGGGUGGGGUUUAAGGUUUAGAGUUAAGGGGUGGGGUUUAGGAUUUAGAAUUUAGGGUUUAGGGUUUUGGGUUUAGGGUUUAGCGUUUAGGGUUUAGAGUCGGGGAGUGGGGUUUUGGGAUAAGAUUUCAAAUUUUGAAAACAAAAAAAAAAUUAAAAUUUUCAAAAGAUUAAAUGCUAUUUUGGUCAUUUUAGUUUUUGAAUGCUAUUUUUGUGACAUAAACUUAGAAAAGUGAUAUUUUGGAGAUUUACCCUAGGGCAAAUCUCCAAAAUAGCACAUUUCUAAGUUUAUAUCACAAAAAUAGCACUCCAAAACUAAAAUGACCAAAAUAACACAUUUCUAAGUUUAUCCUUGGAAAAUUUUAAUUUUUUUAUUUUUCAAAAUUUGAAAUCUUAUCCCCAAAACCUCAUUUCUCAACUUUAAACCCUAAAACCUAAACUCUAAACCCUAAACCCUAAAC
rnacentral:lncRNA from 1 species